rnacentral:rRNA from 1 species
AUUGAACGCUGGCGGCAUGCCUUACACAUGCAAGUCGAACGGCAGCACGGGUGCUUGCACCUGGUGGCGAGUGGCGAACGGGUGAGUAAUACAUCGGAACAUGUCCUGUAGUGGGGGAUAGCCCGGCGAAAGCCGGAUUAAUACCGCAUACGAUCUACGGAUGAAAGCGGGGGACCUGCGGGCCUCGCGCUAUAGGGUUGGCCGAUGGCUGAUUAGCUAGUUGGUGGGGUAAAGGCCUACCAAGGCGACGAUCAGUAGAUGGUCUGAGAGGACGACCAGCCACACUGGAACUGGGACGCGGCCCAGACUCCUACGGGAGGCAGCAGUGGGGAAUUUUGGACAAUGGGCGAAAACCUGAUCCAGCGAUGCGGCGUGUGUGACGAAGGCCUUCGGUUUGUAAAGCACGUUUGUCCGGAGAGAACUCCUUGGCUCUAAUACAGUCGGGGGAUGACGGUACCGGGAAAAUAAGCACCGGCUAACUACGUG